UCCAUAUCCCAACCUGUCAGAGUUUAGUUAUCUUUAUUCUGCAGGCUGGGAUCUGGGAU
rnacentral:miRNA from 1 species